CCCCUAGAUGUCCUGGGCCGCACGCGCAAUACAAUGUAAAGUUCAGAAAGCAUAUCCGGUUCCGGAAGGCAAUGGGUAAUCUUUUCAAUAUUUUACGUGUUAGGGAUCGAUCUUUGCAAUUAUAGAUCUUGAACGAGGAAUACCUAGUAAGUGCAGCUCAUCAGGCUGUACUGAUUACGUCCCUGCCCUUUGUACACACCGCCCGUCGCUCCUACCGAUUUCGAGUGGUCCGGUGAAUCUUUUGGAAUUAGAGUGCAAACUCAAACUAAGAUCGAUAAACCUUAUCACUUAGAGGAAGGAGAAGUCGUAACA
rnacentral:rRNA from 1 species